AACCUAUGCUGGCGGCACGCCUAACACAUGCAAGUCGAACGAAGUAGCAAUACUUAGUGGCAGACGGGUGAGUAACAUGUAGGUAUCUGCCCUUUGGCCUGGAAUAACACGAGGAAACUUGUGCUAAUACCGGAUAAGUCUUUACGGAGAAAGCUUUAUGCACCAUUGGAUGAGCCUGCACUUGAUUAGUUUGUUGGUGGGGUAAUGGCCUACCAAGACUGUGAUCAAUAGCUGAUUUGGGAGGAUGAUCAGCCACAUUGGGACUGAGACACGGCCCAAACUCCUACGGGAGGCAGCAGUGGGGAAUCUUGCACAAUGGAGGAAACUCUGAUGCAGCGAUGCCGCGUGAGUGAAGAAGGCCCUUGGGUUGUAAAGCUCUUUCGUCGGGGAAGAAAAUGACUGUACCCGAAUAAGAAGGUCCGGCUAACUUCGUGCCAGCAGCCGCGGUAAUACGAAGGGACCUAGCGUAGUUCGGAAUUACUGGGCUUAAAGAGUUCGUAGGUGGUUGAAAAAGUUAGUGGUGAAAUCCCAGAGCUUAACUCUGGAACUGCCAUUAAAACUUUUCAGCUAGAGUAUGAUAGAGGAAAGCAGAAUUUCUAGUGUAGAGGUGAAAUUCGUAGAUAUUAGAAAGAAUACCAAUUGCGAAGGCAGCUUUCUGGAUCAUUACUGACACUGAGGAACGAAAGCAUGGGUAGCGAAGAGGAUUAGAUACCCUCGUAGUCCAUGCCGUAAACGAUGUGUGUUAGACGUUGGAAAUUUAUUUUCAGUGUCGCAGGGAAACCGAUAAACACACCGCCUGGGGAGUACGACCGCAAGGUUAAAACUCAAAUGAAUUGACGGGGACCCGCACAAGUAGUGGAGCAUGUGGUUUAAUUCGAAGAUACGCGCAGAACCUUACCAACACUUGACAUGUUCGUCGCGACUCUAAGAGAUUAGAGUUUUCGGUUCGGCCGGACGAAACACAGGUGCUGCAUGGCUGUCGUCAGCUCGUGUCGUGAGAUGUUGGGUUAAGUCCCGCAACGAGCGCAACCCUCACUUUUAGUUGCCAUCAUUAAGUUGGGCACUCUGAAAGAACUGCCAGUGAUAAGCUGGAGGAAGGUGGGGAUGACGUCAAGUCCUCAUGGCCCUUACGUGUUGGGCUACACACGUGCUACAAUGGUAUCUACAACAGGAAGCAAGACUGCGAAGUUAAGCAAAUCCCUAAAAGAUACCUCAGUUCGGAUUGCACUCUGCAACUCGAGUGCAUGAAGCUGGAAUUACUAGUAAUCGUGGAUCAGCGUGCCACGGUGAAUGCGUUCCCGGGUCU
rnacentral:rRNA from 1 species